rnacentral:rRNA from 1 species
ACUCGUGCCUAUACGAGAGGCCCAAGUUGAUAGGCAUCGGCGUAAAACGUGGUUAAGAUGUACAACACUACUAAAGCCGAACACCUUCAAAGCCGUCAUAAGCUCACGGAGGCCGGAAGCCCCACCACGAAAGUGGCUUUAUCUAAUUUGACCCCACGAAAGCUAGGACA